rnacentral:rRNA from 1 species
AUUGAACGCUGGCGGCAUGCCUUACACAUGCAAGUCGAACGGCAGCGCGGGAGCAAUCCUGGCGGCAAGUGGCGAACGGGUGAGUAAUAUAUCGGAACGUGCCCUAGAGUGGGGGAUAACUAGUCGAAAGAUUAGCUAAUACCGCAUACGAUCUACGGAUGAAAGUGGGGGAUCGCAAGACCUCAUGCUCGUGGAGCGGCCGAUAUCUGAUUAGCUAGUUGGUAGGGUAAAAGCCUACCAAGGCCACGAUCAGUAGCUGGUCUGAGAGGACGACCAGCCACACUAGGACUGAGACACGGCCCAGACUCCUACGGGAGGCAGCAGUGGGGAAUUUUGGACAAUGGGGGAAACCCUGAUCCAGCAAUGCCGCGUGUGUAAAGAAGGCCUUCGGGUUGUAAAGCACUUUUGUCCGGAACGAAACGGGCCGAGCUAAUAUCUUGGCCUAAUGACGGUACCGGAAGAAUAAGCACCGGCUAACUACGUGCCAGCCGCCGCGGUAA